GGGAAUAUUGGACAAUGGGCGCAAGCCUGAUCCAGCCAUGCCGCGUGAGUGAUGAAGGCCUUAGGGUUGUAAAGCUCUUUCAUCAGGGACGAUAAUGACGGUACCUGAAGAAGAAGCCCCGGCUAACUUCGUGCCAGCAGCCGCGGUAAUACGAAGGGGGCUAGCGUUGUUCGGAUUUACUGGGCGUAAAGGGUGCGUAGGCGGAUUUUUAAGUCAGGGGUGAAAUCCCAAGGCUCAACCUUGGAACUGCCUUUGAUACUGGAGAUAUUGAGUCCGGGAGAGGUGAGUGGAACUGCGAGUGUAGAGGUGAAAUUCGUAGAUAUUCGCAAGAACACCAGUGGCGAAGGCGGCUCACUGGCCCGGUACUGACGCUGAGGCACGAAAGCGUGGGGAGCAAAC
rnacentral:rRNA from 1 species